rnacentral:rRNA from 1 species
GAUGAACGCUGGCGGCGUGCCUAAUACAUGCAAGUCGAGCGAACAGACGAUGAUCUUGCUCCUCUCUCGUUAGCCGCGGACGUGUGAGUCACACGUGGAUAACCUACCUAUCAUACUGGUAUCACUUCGGGAAACCGGCGCUUAUACCGUAUAAUAUAUUGCUCCGCGUGGUUCAUUAGUGAGAUACGGUUUUUCUGUCUCUUCUAGAUGCAUCCGAGCCGCAUUAGCUAGUUGUUAAGUUCCAGGCUUACCAAGGCAAGGAUGCGUAGCCGACGUGAGAGGGUGAUCGGCCACACGGGAACGUAGACACGGACAAGACGCCUAAGGGAGGGAGCAGUAGGGAAUGUGCCGCAAUGGGCGAAAGCCUGACGGAGCAAGGCGGCGUGAGUGAUGAAGGUCUUCGGAGCGUAAAACUCUGUUAUGAGGGAAGAACAAAUGUGUAAGUAAAUAUGCACGUAUUGACGGUACCUAAUAAGAAAGCCACGGCUAACUACGUG